GGACUACAUGGAGAAACCCUGUCUUGAAAAACCAAACAAACAAACAAACAAACAAAAAAAUAGUGAAAGAAGCAAUCUACCUCUGCUUGUCAGCAGUAAAGAGUGGAUUGUGUCAUGAAUAGGGCAUGUUCUACCUAGACUCCCAUUCACUAUAUCAGCUUUAGGGAUUCUAUUAGGAGGAAAUGGGCCAGUCUGCAGCACUGAAACCUUUGUGAGGCUCCAUGGAACUGAACCGCUCACAAGCCCGUGUCAAAUGAAAGAAGCCAGCCUUGGAGUUCUCUGGUCAAUAGACAGCUAGCUCUCUCUGUGCCUGGAAGCAGAGGAUGAUCUCAGAAGUCUGAGAUGUCUCCCAAGUUCUCUGCCGCUGCUUGGCCUUCUUAGCCUUUUCAGAAUCAGCCUUUCUGUUUAAGGGGGUAGAAAGGGACAGGGGAGAAAAGGUCCCCCAGAGCAGGCUCUUGUGGGGGAGGUGGGAGCUGACUGAAUGCUGACGGGCCCUUUGCUUUGUACCUUUCCUGCUGUGUCCAACAGAAGUGCUGCUCAGCUGCCUGGUUAGCCCCAUUGUCCUCUCCACAAUGUGCUGAGUCCAAGGGCUUCCCUGGCCCCAUGGCCUCACUCCGCUACCCCUGGGCCCAAAGACAAGGCCAGGGGACAAACUACCCAUCAAAUUCAGUGGAGUACCAACCGUCCAUGGCAUGUGGCCAGUGUCAAGAGGUCCAAGUUUUAAACUGUUCAACUUACACUCUGGAGGGGGAAGGUUGUCAGAUUCCCCUAAGUCUGUCAAGGAGUCCAAGUUUUAAACUGCCUGGAUUACAUUUUGUAGGGUCAGGGUUGUCAUAUUCCCCUGUCAGUCAUCACCCCUACAUCUAAUAGCUCAUCUCCCUGGACAGUUGUCCUACUUGCUUGUGUGGGCUAAGAAAAUGUUUCCCAAUCCAUGUCUCUUAUAGAGCUGCACAAAACAAGCCUGACAAAGUGCUGGUGAUGGAGCAUGUUCAAGUCUCUUGUGCUCCAUUCUCAGUACACAUGCACACAUACAUAGAUAUACAAACACAUAGUGAGGCGUGAAGGGGAAGAUUGGUUGAAGACACGGUGGGGGAUAAUAGAAUGCACUACAAAUAAUAAAGACAACUACUAGAAAAUGAAAACUGAAUAAAUGUGGUCAAAGAAAACGUU